AAUUUGCGGCCAUCUUGAGCGUGCAGAACCCCGGCGCGCUGCGCGGCUGAAGGUGGGAGUAUCCGCCGCGUUGGUCUUGGGAUCAAGCUGUGAGGGCGCCAUGGCGCCGGGCUGCAAAACUGAGUUACGCAACGUGACAAAUUGUCAGUCUAACCAAACAAGUAAUGAAGGUGAUGCCAUCAAAGUUUUUGUGCGAAUUCGUCCACUUACAGAAGGUUCUGGAUCAGCUGAUGGAGAGCAAAACUUAUGCUUAUCUGUGCUUUCCUCUACCACUCUCCGGCUACACUCCAACCCUGAGCCCAAGACCUUCACAUUUGAUCAUGUUGCAGACAUGCAAACCACUCAGGAGUCUGUGUUCUCAACUGUGGCCAAGGGCAUUGUGGAAUCUUGCAUGAGCGGUUAUAAUGGUACCAUCUUUGCAUAUGGACAAACAGGCUCAGGGAAAACAUUUACAAUGAUGGGACCAUCUGAAUCUGAUCAUUUUUCUCAUAACCUGAGAGGAGUAAUCCCACGAAGUUUUGAAUAUUUGUUUUCCUUAAUUGAUCGUGAAAAAGAGAAGGCUGGAGCUGGAAAGAGUUUCCUUUGUAAAUGCUCCUUUAUUGAAAUCUACAAUGAGCAGAUCUAUGACCUACUGGACUCUGCAUCAGCUGGUCUGUACUUAAGGGAGCACAUCAAGAAGGGAGUCUUUGUUGUUGGUGCAGUGGAGCAGGCAGUGACCUCAGCUGCUGAAGCCUAUCAGGUCCUGUCUGGAGGAUGGAGAAAUAGACGUGUAGCAUCAACAUCAAUGAAUAGAGAGUCUUCUAGGUCUCAUGCGGUCUUUACAAUUACAGUAGAGUCAAUGGAGAAAAGCAAUGAAACUGUGAAUAUACGGACCUCCUUACUCAAUCUGGUGGAUUUAGCAGGAUCUGAAAGGCAAAAAGACACCCAUGCAGAAGGGAUGAGGUUAAAGGAGGCAGGUAACAUAAACCGGUCUUUGAGCUGCCUGGGCCAAGUGAUUACUGCGCUUGUCGAUGUGGGUAAUGGGAAACAGAGGCACGUUUGCUACAGAGACUCCAAACUUACCUUCUUACUUCGGGAUUCCCUUGGCGGUAAUGCCAAAACAGCCAUAAUUGCUAACAUUCAUCCUGGAUCCAGGUGUUUUGGGGAAACCCUGUCAACGCUUAAUUUUGCUCAAAGAGCCAAGCUGAUUAAAAAUAAGGCAGUAGUAAAUGAAGACACCCAAGGAAAUGUGAGCCAGCUCCAAGCUGAAGUAAAGAGGCUCAAAGAACAGCUAGCUCAGCUUACUUCAGGGCGGUUAGUACCAGAAAGCUUUCUGACAAAAGAUAAGGAUGAGACUAAUUACAUGAAGUAUUUCCAAGAGGCAAUGUUAUUCUUUAAGAAAUCCGAACAGGAAAAGAAGUCUCUGGUAGAAAAAGUUACUCAAUUAGAAGACCUCACCCUCAAAAAAGAAAAAUUUAUUCAAUCUAAUAAAAUGAUUGUGAAAUUCCGAGAGGAUCAAAUAAUGCGCCUGGAGAAGCUCCACAAGGAAUCCCGGGGAAGUUUUCUGCCUGCAGAGCAGGAUCGCUUGUUGUCGGAAUUAAGGGACGAGAUCCAGACUCUUCGGGAACAAAUUGAGCACCACCCCAGAGUUGCCAAGUAUGCUAUGGAAAACCAUUCUCUUAGAGAGGAGAAUAGAAGAUUGAGAUUAUUAGAGCCUGUGAAAAGAGCCCAAGAAAUGGAUGCCCAGACCAUUGCUGUACUAGAGAAAGCUUUCUCCGAACUAUCUGGCACAGAGAAAAGAGGUCAACAAGGAUUUUCUCCUAAAACUCCAAAGGAGCCAUGUUCGUUAGUGAACACUGAGAAGUUGAAAGCACAACUCUUGCAAAUUCAGACAGAACUGAAUAAUUCAAAGCAAGAAUAUGAAGAAUUCAAAGAACUAACAAGGAAAAAGCAGCUAGAAUUGGAAUCAGAGCUUCAAUCUCUGCAAAAAGCAAACCUUAAUCUUGAAAACCUUUUGGAAGCAACAAAAGCCUGCAAGCGGCAAGAAGUUUCUCACCUAAAUAAAAUUCAUGCUGAAACACUUAAGAUUAUGACUACGCCAACCAAGGCUUAUCAACUUUGGUCUCGAACAGUACCAAAAUUAAGCCCUGAAGUGGGGAGCUUUGGCCCUGUGUGCACUCAGAAUUCAAGUGAGUUAGAUGAUAAUAUCUUGAAUGAGCCAAUUCCACCUGACAUGAAUGAACAAGCUUUUGAGGCCAUUUCUGAAGAGCUUAGAAUGGUGCAGGAACAGAUGAAUGCCCUUCAAGUGAAGUUGGAUGAAGAAGAGCAUAAAAACCUCAGGCUUCAACAGCACAUUGACAAACUGGAACAUCACUCUAUACAAACGCAGGAGCUUUUCUCAUCAGAAAGAACUGACUGGACCAGACAACAGCAAGAGCAUCUCUCACAAUUGAAUGUCCUUGAAAAGCAGCUUCAGGACACUCAAACUAAGAAUGACUUUUUGAAAAGUGAGGUGCAUGACCUGCGUGUAGUUCUUCAUUCUGCAGACAAGGAGCUGUCUUCCAUGAAACUGGAGUAUAGUUCGUUCAGAGAGAGUCAGGAGAAAGAACUGAGUAGCCUUUCUGAUCGACAUGCGCACACACAGCUUCAACUGGACAGCGUCAGAUUAGAAAAGGAAAAGCUUCUUGAGAGCAAAGCCUGCCUACAGGAUUCCUAUGACAACUUACAAGAAGUAAUGAAGUUUGAAAUUGACCAACUUUCAAAACACCUACAAAACUGCAAAAAAGAAAAUGAAACUCUGAAAUCUGAUCUGAAUAAUUUGGUGGAGCUUUUUGAGGCAGAAAAAGAACGCAAUAACAAAUUAUUAUUACAAUUUGAAGAAGAUAAAGAGAACAGUUCUAAAGAAAUCUUAGAAGUUCUUGAGGUUGUGCGUCAGGAGAAACAGAAAGAGAUGGCCAAGUGUGAGCAGCAGAUGGCAAAAGUACAGAAACUGGAAGAGAGCUUAUAUGCUGCAGAAAAAGUAAUCCAUUCUCUGGAGAAGUCUAGAGAUGCUGACAAGGAAGUUGUAGCUGACCUCAUGAGCCAGAUCCAGGAGCUAAGAACAUCAGUCUGUGAGAAAACAGAAACCAUAGACACCCUGAAGCAAGAACUGAAGGACAUAAGUUGCAAGUACAACUCUGCUUUGGCUGACAAGGACGAGAGCAAAGUGUUGAUUAAGCAACAGGAAGUGGAGAUUCGGGAUCUGAAAGAAGCCCUUAGACUGAGAAUACUCUCUGAGGACAUAGAGAGGGAUAUGCUCUGCGAGGACCUGGCCCAUGCCACUGAGCAGCUGAAUAUGCUCACCGAAGCGUCAAAGAAGCAUUCAGAGCUACUGCAGUCUGCCCAGGAGGAGAUGACCAGGAAGGAGGCCCUGAUCCAAGAGCUUAAGCACGAGUUGAACCAGAAGAAGGAGGAAGUAGAACAGAAAAAGAAUGAAUAUAACUUCAAAAUGAGACAGCUCGAAUACGUGAUGGAUUCUGCUGCUGAGUAUCCCCAGAGCCCUAAAACACCACCUCAUUUUCAAACACAUUUGGCAAAACUCCUGGAAACACAAGAACAAGAGAUAGAAGAUGGAAGAGCCUCUAAGAUUUCUCUGCAACACCUUGUAACAAAGCUAAAUGAAGACCGGGAAGUCAAAAAUGCUGAAAUCCUCAGAAUAAAGGAGCAGUUGUGUGAAAUGGAAAACCUACGUAAGGAAGCUGAGCAGUUGAGAGAGAGAAACUGGCUCCUGCAAAGUCAGCUGGAUGAUAUUGAAAGAAAAAAGGACAACAGGCUGCCAGAUUCAUUAAGUGAAAGAAACUACUGGAGCUUCUAUUUUCCUUCAAGAAACGAUCUUUUGCUCAUCAGUGAGAGAUAUUUCUAGAGGAGCCUGUGGCAUUCAGUGAACAGAAUCAUCCAGAUCAUCAACAGCUGAAGAAUGAACAAGAAGAAAUGAUCAAAGAAAGACUUGCUAAAAAUAAAUUAGUUGAAGAAAUGUUGAAAAUGAAAGCAAACCUAGAAGAAGUCCAGAGUGCUCUUCAGAACCAAGAGAUGGACUGCCUUAGGAUGGCUGAGGAAGUUGAACGAACUAGAACUUUGGAAUCCAAAGCGUUCCAAGAAAAGGAGCAACUGAGAUCAAAGCUAGAAGAAGUGUAUGAAGAAAAGGAGAGAAUAUUCCAGGAGAUGGAAAUGUUAAGGAAGCAGGUGGAGUGCCUUGCUGAGGAAAAUGGCAAGUUGGUCGGUCACCAGAACCUACACCAGAAGAUUCAGUACGUGGUGCGGCUGAAGAAGGAGAAUGUCCGGCUUGCUGAGGAGACAGAAAAGUUGCGUGCUGAAAAUGUAUUUUUAAAAGAAAAAAAAAAGGAAUGAAUCGUAAAGAUCUUGGUCAUCACCUUUUUGGAGACUUUCUUUCCUCUUGCAAAAGUAAGCCCUACCCUGCGCAUCUAAUAGCUGAAUUAAGGAGCACAAGUACUAACUCCAUACGUGACACUGGGGGCUGACCCCCAAGUUUCUGAUGAACGUUCUGAACCAAACUCACCCUGUAACAGUCAGCAGUCUACUAUUUUGAAGUUACCACCCCACUUCAAAGCUUUAAAUCAAUUGUAAAUACUGGGAAAACCUUUUGCCUUUUUAAAAUAAAAGCCGGUAGCUAAGGUUGACAGUGGAUGUUGGCCAGGUUAUGUUUUUUCCUUAGAUACUACCUACCAUAAUCUCCUUUGCGUCUUAUGUCAGAAGCUCUAACAAUAUGAGGUGAUUUCAUAACAUGACUGAUUGCGUAGCACGUGCGAAAGGCACACAUGUUAAUAUAGAUUAUUUUUGUAUUCUUGCAUUUUUCAAAAUUAAUAAAAUUUCUUGAAAAUAAAGUUUAAUAAAGUGAUUUAAUUGUUCA